UGUCGCCUUUUCUUCAGCCCCGAGCAGCCGUGCCGCCAGAGCUCGCGAACCUUGCCGCCACCUCGACUCCUCCGUGUCCGGUGCGCCGCUGGAGCAUCUGUCGCGUGCCGGCGAGCUCACCAGCGAGCAGCAGCCGCCCUCCUGCCUUGCCUUUUUCCCGUCCUUCCCUACUCCUCUCUCACCUCUCUCUGCCUUGCCUCCACAGGGACAUCGGGACGUCGCCGGCAUGCGAAACGAAGCCGCCCCAACUGGAUCCACGCCCUCCACCAUCGCCCGCUCUCCCACCAUUCUUCCUCACCUCGAAUUGGUCGCACCGGUAGCCGUCGUUGCCAGAUCCUACCUUGGUCGCCCGCUGGAAGAUCCAGCACCCUAUGCAUUGCCACAUCGCGCCUCUCACCGUCGAGGGCGGCAGGAACGACGGAGUCGUGCAUGUGUCGGCUCCUAUGUGGUGCGUGCGGAGCCACUAGCUCGCGGAACAGCUGCAGGCCUGGAGCACCCCUACCUCGAGCGGCACUCAUGCAUGGUUGGUGGUCGAGACAUCAUAGGAGCUUCAGCCGGUGGCGUUGAUCCAAAAUUACUCCUUCCAGUACAACGUUCCCCAAUGCAAAGUGUCCCUUUAUUUCCCCUGCCCAGCUCCAAUCUUGAUCCUUCCAUGUUUGAUGUAAUGUGUACAGAGAAACAAGGCCGCCGAGCCAAAUUUGCUGAACCAGGCUACCAAGUUUGAGGUAAAAAAACUCAGCAGGGAAGUAUCUAUCCUGAAUUUUCUGCACUACAUAAAUUUACCCAUAGAAUAUAUCUCUAAUAGUACCCUGUCCAAAAUGUUAGUGCUAUUUCUGCAAUUUUGCAAGCCGAAUUUGUGCCAAGUGCAUUGCUUAAUAUAUCUCUAAUAGUAUAUGUCCAUUGCUAUUUCCGAGAUCUUCCAUCAAUUUCUAUUACAACAGAAAAAUGAUCCCUGUCAACAUAUAUAGUAUGCACUGGGAAAUCAUGAUUCAUGGGCAGCUGAUAUAUACAAUGGUUGAUAACAAUUAAUUUAGGGUCUCCAUUCUACUAUUUUUUUACAUACUCAACAAAUUUGUGACAUCUUAUCUGGUAGAGAAAACAGUCCGAGAUAUUCUAUUCUUACCUACACAUAAUUCCGUAUUGAUGACUUAGCAUUCAACAUGAUUCAGUUUCUAGCUUGUAUACAUUAGUAUUAUUAUGAGCCACCUAAAAAGUUUUUGGGCUUUUAGUUUCAGUUAUAGUCAUGGACUGGGCACAAUUCACAGAAUAAGAAAAUGUAUCAAGCAUUAAUUUUAUAUGCGUGAAGCAUUUUACAAUGAAACGUUAUUCAGAUCUCUCUUUCAGAUCUCUCUUACAGAUCUCUCUUACAUGAAAAUUCUAAACAUUAUUCAGUACUGAGGACCAAAUUUAGAAAAUUCUAAACGAGUGGUGAGUUCAAUCAGGUGAAAAAUUGUAGGUCAAACAUGAAAGGAUGCACAUUCGUUUUUGAAGUUGAAAAUAACGUUUCAUGAAGCAAACUUGAGAUAUUCUGCUAAUGAUAGGAAGCGUGGUUUAAAACUGCUCUGGCUGGAGUUGUAUGCUUUGUGACUGAAGACUAGAGCUUGGUGUCAUGGUGACUUGCAGCCACUCCUGAUGGUCCUACCACCCAGCUUUUACUCUCUCGAAUUUCCUUAUUUUCAUAUUAACACUGCUAUUGGGGUCAAUCUAUGUUGUUUACUGCUCUAAUCAAGCUAUUGCUAGGAUUCCAUGUUUCCUACAUUGUAUUAUGCUGAUCAUUAGUAAUUCAACCUACAUUGUAUUAUACUGGUCAUUAGUGGAAUGUUGAUUCUGUGAUAAUCUUAAUACAUCCAUGGCUGUUGAGGAAAUAGGGAAAAUGUAUAAACUGGUGAAAUAUCACACAUUAACCUCCUCUUAGAUCUGAACUAAGAUCAUAUGGGUUCGGCCGUGCAUGUCCAUACAUAGUGCAUCGGGUUAAUGUGCCUGAAGCGUAAGGACUCAUGACAUAUUAACGAAGUGCACAUGUUGAGUUAAAAAGUGUACAUUUUUUUUUUCUAUUACGGAACAUUUGACGAUGUUUUGUUUUGAUCUUAAUCAAAAUGGUACAGAAGCAAGUCAAGGUUUAGUUACUGUAAUUUUACUUACUGUAAUUUCCACUCUGUUCUCUACAAGAAAAAUAAAUUAUGGAUAAAUUGCAGUGAUAAGCUAUCAAAAAGAGACGUACAUUUACUUAUAUUGCUCAAUAUUCAAUUGAUCGAUUAGUUUUUAGUUACAAAAGUGUGAUGUUUUAAAACUGAAAAACGAAAUAUUGGUUUAGUACCUAAUUACAAAACACAACUAAGCAUGGAAAUAAGUAGCUAAUUGUUUUGGCCUCACCUACUUAUGUAAUAUCUGUUCCCGUAUGCACAUUUCUUUCUAUUUUCCAGUUAUGUGACAUGAUUGUCUGAAGUUUAAUGCAACCCUCGAGAUGUUUCUUGACUAAAUGUCUAAAUUCAGUGCAACUAGGAUUUUCUCUAUGAGGUUGCAUCAGUAUAUUAUACUGGGCUUUUGAUUCAAAUACGAAUUUCUCCAACUAUCUUUUGUGCUCGGUGUAGUCUCUUCCUCGCGUUGGGGAAUUUAGAUGGUUAUCAGAAUCAAUUGGGGCAUGCUCUCAACAACAUCACUAUUCACAUGGUUGAGGUGGCAGAGCAGCUAAGCCAGACGGUGACCUCGCCCUGGAGAUGGAGGCGAGCCGCAGAGGGCCUUGCUACGGCAUUGUGAAGGAAAUCAAUAAUUACUUAUUUCCAGUUUGUUGUUUUAUAAUCGGUAGCACCUGUAUUUACUCAAUAAACGAGAAAGUCCGAUGCAUUGCUCAUGAUCCCCUUUUGUGGGGUUGUAAUCUUGAUGAAGAAAGAAAUGUAUAUUUGCGUUGUAAAAUGUUUCUUUGCCCUUUGGUGGUCUGGCCAUGCAAAACACUCAAUUAUUAAUGA